AACGAACGCUGGCGGCAUGCCUAACACAUGCAAGUCGAACGAGACCUUCGGGUCUAGUGGCGCACGGGUGCGUAACGCGUGGGAACCUGCCCUUAGGUUCGGAAUAACUCCCCGAAAGGGGUGCUAAUACCGGAUAAUGUCUUCGGACCAAAGAUUUAUCGCCUUUGGAUGGGCCCGCGUUGGAUUAGCUAGUUGGUAGGGUAAAAGCCUACCAAGGCGACGAUCCAUAGCUGGUCUGAGAGGAUGAUCAGCCACACUGGGACUGAGACACGGCCCAGACUCCUACGGAAGGCAGCAGUGGGGAAUAGUGGACAAUGGGCGAAAGCCUGAUCCAGCAAUGCCGCGUGAGUGAUGAAGGCCUUAGGGUUGUAAAGCUCUUUUACCCGGGAUGAUAAUGACAGUACCGGGAGAAUAAGCUCCGGCUAACUCCGUG
rnacentral:rRNA from 1 species